rnacentral:rRNA from 1 species
UGAGGAAUAUUGCACAAUGGGGGCAACCCUGAUGCAGCGACGCCGCGUGGGUGAUGAAGGUUUUCGGAUCGUAAAGCCCUUUUCUGCAUGACGAGCCAAGGACGGUAGUGCAGGAAUAAGUGUCGGCUAACUACGUGCCAGCAGCCGCGGUAAAACGUAGGACACAAGCGUUAUCCGGAAUUACUGGGCGUAAAGGGCGUGCAGGCGGUUGCGUAAGUUAGGCGUGAAAGACUUCGGCUAAACCGGGGGAGGUCGUCUGAUACUGCGCAACUAGAGUAUGGUAGAGGCGUGUAGAAUUCCGGGUGUAGUGGUGAAAUGCGUAGAGAUCCGGAGGAAUACCAGUGGCGAAGGCGGCACGCUGGGCCAUAACUGACGCUAAGACGCGAAAGCAUGGGUAGCGAACGGGAUUAGAUACCCCUGUAGUCCCUGAGCGGGCUGGCAAGGCGCAU